CACGUAGUUAGCCGGUGCUUAUUCUUACGGUACCGUCAUUAGCCCAGGGUAUUAACCCAGACCGUUUCGUUCCGUACAAAAGCAGUUUACAACCCGAAGGCCUUCUUCCUGCACGCGGCAUUGCUGGAUCAGGCUUGCGCCCAUUGUCCAAAAUUCCCCA
rnacentral:rRNA from 1 species